rnacentral:rRNA from 1 species
GAUGGGUCAAGUUAGUGGCGAAUGGGUGAGUAACACGUAGGUGACCUACCCCGAUGUGGGGAGUAUCCACUGGAAACGGUGGUUAAUACCCCAUGUGAUCGACGAGUCAUAUCGUUGAUGAAAGCUUCGGCGCGUCGGGAGGGGCCUGCGGCCCAUCAGGUAGUAGGUAGGGUAAAGGCCUACCAAGCCGAUGACGGGUAGCUGGUCUGAGAGGAUGGUCAGCCACACUGGAACUGAAACACGGUCCAGACUCCUACGGGAGGCAGCAGUGAGGAAUAUUGCGCAAUGGACGGCAGUCUGACGCAGCAACGCCGCGUGAGCGAUGAAGGCCUUCGGGUCGUAAAGCUCUUUUCUGAGGGACGAGGAAGGACGGUACCUCAGGAAUAAGCCUCGGCUAACUACGUGCCAGCAGCCGCGGUAAAACGUAGGAGGCGAGCGUUAUCCGGAUUUAUUGGGCGUAAAGCGCAUGCAGGUGGUUCUGCGAGUCGGAUGUGAAAGCUCCCGGCUUAACUGGGAGAGGUCGUUCGAAACUGCAGGACUGGAGGUCGGAAGAGGGAAGCGGAAUUCCCGGUGUAGUGGUGGAAUGCGUAGAUAUCGGGAGGAACACCAGUGGCGGAAGCGGCUUCCUGGUCCGCACCUGACACUCAGAUGCGAAAGCGUGGGGAGCGAACAGGAUUAGAUACCCUGGUAGUCCGCGCUGUAAACGAUGGGUACUGGGUAUCGGUGGUAUUGACCCCAUCGUGUCGAAGCUAACGCGUUAAGUACCCCGCCUGGGGACUACGGCCGCAAGGUUAAAACUCAAAGGAAUUGACGGGGGCCCGCACAAGCAGCGGAGCGUGUGGUUUAAUUCGAUGCAACACGAGAACCUUACCUGGGUUUGACAUGAUGGUAGUAGUGAAGCGAA